UGGGUGGAUCCUCACUGGGUCCAUUUGGUACCUAUAAGGAAGUGUUGCUUUACUGUCAUUCACCUUCUGCAGAUAGACUCUGCCCUUAAAGGUGCCUCCAGUGCCCGCAGCCUUCCUACCACACAUGCUCCCUUCCCCAGGGACAAAUACUCAUUAGCUGUGAAAGGGAAAGCACAGUAAUAAUAUUAAUACCAAAAAAACCCCAACCAUUUCUUAGCUCAAGUGUUUUUUUCUAUGAGUUCCAGUGCCAAACCCUUAUGCCUGGAAAUACCCAGAGCUAAUUUAUCUUCAUAGAUGCCCAGAGUCACCCUAAUAGCCGCUGAAUCAAAACUACACUUUCCUGCUCCUGCAUGGUACCUAUAUGUUGUGCUUAUGGGCCCUUCAGAGCCUGGCAGCUACUGGCUCCGACUAACAGCGCACAGUCCCGGUGUCCUUGAAGAUGGAGGGUGGAGAAUCCCAUUCCUGCGUGAGAGCUUUCUGGAGGGAGCAGGGAAGUGGCGAGGCUGGUUUGCUCUUCCCACAUGCCAAUUUACUGUAACGCAAGAUGCUGUGUGACUUUUCUCUGUGCAGCAAUUCCCAUCCUCCUCACACCAGUUGUGGCAGGAGACACCAACAGUUUGGAGCAGAGAAGCACUUCGGAGCUGCUGCCAGAAGCUGCUUAGGAGCUGCCUUGAGGCAAGGACACGAACAGGAAUUUGUAUCAUGCUCUCAAUUUCUUCUAAAAAGGGGAAGUGAACUUGGCUAUGCUGAUACACAGAAGACAGAGCAGCAGAGGAGGAAUGGCUUGCCUGGAAACACGUGCACUCAGCGUACUGGCAAACUGAGUCAAACUCAACAUGCGUUUGAGAAGUGUCCUGUUUCAUACCUUGGAAGCUGCCACAGCAGAACCUCACGGGGGGUAAUGCAGGAGAACAGAGAUUUUUGUGUAUAGCAGCAGUUAGAGCUGGUGCCUUCUUGCUGCCCAUCCUCCCCUCUUUCAUGUGUAUGCCCCCAGCUCAGCAGCAACAGGGUUAUCACACUUGGUUCCCUCUCCAGGCACCAGAGACAAAAGUUUCCUAUCAAAACCCCUUUACCUCAGCUUCACAAAAAACCCUCUCCAAACUGCUGCACCCCCAGUGAGGUAAAUGGAGACACAGGUUUCCACAGCUGGUCCCUGUGUUCCUGGAGAUAAGGUGAAUAUUCCCUGACAUCAAGUGCCUGCAAGGGUGCUGCAGCGAGCACUGACUGGAGAGUUGCAAUAUGCCAUUGCCAGUAUGAUGGACUAUGAAUGCUUCCUGUCAUCUGAAAAAAGAAAGGACAUCAUCUGGCCCAGUCAAGCAGAGGAUGAAACAGCUGGUGGAACUGGAGCUGCCUGGGAGCAGGGAACAGCGAGGGUCACCUGAGCCCGGCCCUGUUUAACACCACGCGCCCUGCAGAAGCUGCAGCCACUUCGUAAAGGUCAAAACUGUGUUAUAACGGGACAUGAACUCUGACAUCAUUUCAGAGUGACUGAUCGAUAUGCCUGGCAUGGGAAAGCAGCCAGUCAUCAGGCAGAGCCCCACUGUCGCAGCCAGGCUUGGCAGCACCGCGUGGCUUGCAAGGGAGUUUAUAAUACAGUGUUGCUAAUGUAUCUAUGCUUUAAUUGCUGUUUAGUAAUGAGGUGUUUGGGAGGAGUUGCCCAGGCAGGAGAGAUUAGUGAGGGCCACCAGAAGAAGAGAUACUAAUCAAUGAGGUGAUUGACUUUCUCUGGUCAGAUGUGUUAGCUAACUCCAGGAAAUUAUAUUUUCUUCAUACUCCUCCUACGAAUCUGCAAGAGCUUGGCCUGAUUUCACUGACACCCAGCACUUCAAAGCUGGCCACAUCCAAUCUCAGGAAGCAUACCUGUGUCUGACACAGACCAUAACCCUGUGACCAACAGCUACCUCUGCUCAACAGCAUUUUUCAGGUGAGCAUGCAUACGCAGCAAUUAAGUACUUGCACUGAGAUGUGCAGUAUUGUAACUUACUUUAAUGAGUAAAUCGGUUGUGCCAUCUCAGACACAAUAGACAGAACUUUAGUACUCUUUCCACAGGGCUGCAGUGGUAAUUUCUUUGCCAUGAUAUGCAGCAGAGGCUGUAGGACAGUCACACAUGCUACAGAAACCCUGAGGUCAUGGGGAAACUUUUCAAAUUAAGGAAGGCUCCUGGACAUGAGAUACCUAUGUUUUGCUACAUACACAGUGCUCCGGGGUAGUUUUCAGCUUGUCUUUUCAGCCCACUUUUUUAACCUUUGCAGGGAAAAAUAAUAGAAGUUGUAGGAUGCAAGCUACUUGUCUUUUCUUGAUGGGGUAAAAACAUGUGAGGGACUUUUCAUCUGUAAAAUCCCUGCAAGGAAAAUUAGCAGUUAUGAUGCAGAUCUGUGGGUUUGGAAACUUGGGAUGUAUCCCUGAGAAGCUGACUGGCUGCCUACGUGAUCCUGAAGAAGUCAAUGGACUGGCAAUGAGCUGACCUUUGGUUUGAGCCAAGCCUGAAUGCCUGUAUUUUGAGGGAGGAGGGCUGUUUUGUUUUUUUAUUAUUGUGGCCAUGUUUCUAUGUUUCUGAUUUCCCACUGAGAAGGCACAUGGCCAGAGCAGCCUGCCUGUCCCUGCCUUUCCUGCAGCCUGGUGAACUGGAGGCAACUCUCAUGGCUCUCCUCUGCCCCCUCUCCUUGCGCAUACCUGCAGGGAAGCAAGAUCAUGCCAAAUUGCCGUGUGAGGGGCAUUGCUCAGUGAGUGAGGCUGGCCACAGAGGAGCCAGAGAUGUGACCGAGGUGUUUCUUUCCCCUAACUCUGGCACUUGCAGGCCUCUUUCUGUCCCUCUGAGCCUCAGGGAUGCUUGGCAGAUGGGUGAGGGUGUGGCACUCUGGACAUGUCAGGCUGAGAGUACCUGGUGAGCCGGGCGUGCAUUCCUGCCCAAUAAAUCAGUUAUGGUGAUACA
rnacentral:lncRNA from 14 species